UACCGAAAGGUAUGCUAAUACGAGAUAAUAUACUUUUAUCGCAUGGUAGAAGUAUCAAAGCUCCGGCGGUGCAGGAUGGACCCGCGUCUGAUUAGCUAGUUGGUAAGGUAACGGCUUACCAAGGCGACGAUCAGUAGCCGACCUGAGAGGGUGAUCGGCCACAUUGGAACUGAGACACGGUCCAAACUCCUACGGGAGGCAGCAGUGGGGAAUAUUGCACAAGGGGCGAAAGCCGGAUGCAGCAACGCCGCGUGA
rnacentral:rRNA from 1 species